rnacentral:rRNA from 1 species
GACGAACGCUGGCGGCGUGCUUAACACAUGCAAGUCGAACGGAAAGGCCCUGCUUUUGUGGGGUGCUCGAGUGGCGAACGGGUGAGUAACACGUGAGUAACCUGCCCUUGACUUUGGGAUAACUUCAGGAAACUGGGGCUAAUACCGGAUAGGAGCUCCUGCUGCAUGGUGGGGGUUGGAAAGUUUCGGCGGUUGGGGAUGGACUCGCGGCUUAUCAGCUUGUUGGUGGGGUAGUGGCUUACCAAGGCUUUGACGGGUAGCCGGCCUGAGAGGGUGGCCGGCCACAUUGGGACUGAGAUACGGCCCAGACUCCUACGGGAGGCAGCAGUGGGGAAUAUUGCACAAUGGGCGGAAGCCUGAUGCAGCAACGCCGCGUGCGGGAUGACGGCCUUCGGGUUGUAAACCGCUUUCGCCUGUGACGAAGCGUGAGUGACGGUAAUGGGUAAAGAAGCACCGGCUAACUACGUGCCAGCAGCCGCGGUGAUACGUAGGGUGCGAGCGUUGUCCGGAUUUAUUGGGCGUAAAGGGCUCGUAGGUGGUUGAUCGCGUCGGAAGUGUAAUCUUGGGGCUUAACCCUGAGCGUGCUUUCGAUACGGGUUGACUUGAGGAAGGUAGGGGAGAAUGGAAUUCCUGGUGGAGCGGUGGAAUGCGCAGAUAUCAGGAGGAACACCAGUGGCGAAGGCGGUUCUCUGGGCCUUUCCUGACGCUGAGGAGCGAAAGCGUGGGGAGCGAACAGGCUUAGAUACCCUGGUAGUCCACGCUGUAAACGGUGGGUACUAGGUGUGGGGUCCAUUCCACGGGUUCCGUGCCGUAGCUAACGCUUUAAGUACCCCGCCUGGGGAGUACGGCCGCAAGGCUAAAACUCAAAGGAAUUGACGGGGCCCCGCACAAGCGGCGGAGCAUGCGGAUUAAUUCGAUGCAACGCGUAGAACCUUACCUGGGUUUGACAUGGAUCGGGAGUGCUCAGAGAUGGGUGUGCCUCUUUUGGGGUCGGUUCACAGGUGGUGCAUGCCUGUCGUCAGCUCGUGUCGUGAGAUGUUGGGUUAAGUCCCGCAACGAGCGCAACCCUUGUUCACUGUUGCCAGCACGUUAUGGUGGGGACUCAGUGGAGACCGCCGGGGUCAACUCGGAGGAAGGUGGGGAUGACGUCAAGUCCUCAUGCCCCUUAUGUCCAGGGCUUCACGCAUGCUACAAUGGCUGGUACAGAGAGUGGCGAGCCUGUGAGGGUGAGCGAAUCUCGGAAAGCCGGUCUCAGUUCGGAUUGGGGUCUGCAACUCGACCUCAUGAAGUCGGAGUCGCUAGUAAUCGCAGAUCAGCAACGCUGCGGUGAAUACGUUCCCGGG